AACAACAUCUCUCUUUUGAGUAAGACACAGAUACAUUCCUGAUGGUGUUUGCAGCACAUCAGCAUGGUCAACAAGUUCUUUGAAGACAUGAUAUAUUUUCCUUAGUAAUUUCAUUAUCUUUCUCUUCUGGAGCUACAAUCACACAAACUAUUUUCAGUCAUGCUAAGACCCUUCUCAAAUUUUUGCCUCAAUUCUUUCUUGGGGUUGGAAGGAACUUCUGUUUGCCCUCCUACCAAGGUGAGUGCAGAUAUCAUGUCUUCAAUGUGUUUUAUGUCUACUCUCAUUUUUUAAUGUAUCUUUCACAUCAGGUGAAACUUAGAGCCUGCAAAUGACACAUUUUAAGCACUUACUAAAUUAUCAAUAAAGAAAUGUAAUAAC
rnacentral:sRNA from 1 species